rnacentral:rRNA from 1 species
UACGUAGGGGGCAAGCGUUGUCCGGAAUUAUUGGGCGUAAAGCGCGUGUAGGCUGCUACAUAAGUCGGAUGUGAAAGCCCCGGGCUCAACCCGGGAAGUGCACUCGAUACUGCGUAGCUUGAGUCUCGGAGAGGUUGGUGGAAUUCUCGGUGUAGAGGUGAAAUUCGUAGAUAUCGAGAGGAACACCGGUGGCGAAGGCGGCCAACUGGACGAAGACUGACGCUGAGACGCGAAAGCGUGGGGAGCGAACAGG